UUGUUCUUAGCUCAGUUGGUAGAGCGGAGGACUGUAGAUCCUUAGGUUGCUGGUUCGAAUUCGGCAGGUCGGA
rnacentral:tRNA from 1 species